ACACUAUAAAUAGACACUUGCUCUCCUCUUCCUCCUCGCCCAACAAAGCAAGGUUCAGAUCAGUUUCAGUUCAACCAUGAAUGGGAAGAUCGCAGCGACAACUGCUGCCCUAUGCUUGCUCCUCAUGACCUGUGGUGUGGAGGCCAUGCUGUGCAAAACGCGAAGCACGACCUUCAAAGGGAUUUGCAAGCAAAAUAUGAAUUGUGCCAACAUCUGCGUCUCAGAGGGCAGAAGCGGCGGAUACUGUAAAGGACUUCCGAUGCGCAAGCGGUGCAUGUGCACUUUUGACUGCAGCACUGAUGGCGGUGGCGGUGGUGGCGGUGGCGGUGGUGGCAGUGGCGGCGGCGGGGGUGGCGGCAGCGGUGGUGGUGGCAGCAGCGGAGCGCCAGUGCCACCAAGGCCGCCGCCAGCAUUGACGGCGAGGGCUCGAAGGGCCGGAAGCCCUGCAUGAGCUGCUAGACUCCGGUCGCUAGGCCUCUGAUCUGAUUGUGUAUGCGUACCACAGGCAGGGCGAUUCACUCAUGCUAACUUGUGUUCGGAGUUGAUGGCAAUAAUGAUAAAAGAAAAUGGUUUCG